rnacentral:rRNA from 1 species
AUUGAACGCUGGCGGCAUGCUUUACACAUGCAAGUCGAACGGUAACAGGCCGCAAGGUGCUGACGAGUGGCGAACGGGUGAGUAAUGCAUCGGAACGUGCCCAGUCGUGGGGGAUAACGCAGCGAAAGCUGCGCUAAUACCGCAUACGAUCUAUGGAUGAAAGCGGGGGACCGUAAGGCCUCGCGCGAUUGGAGCGGCCGACGUCAGAUUAGGUAGUUGGUGGGGUAAAGGCUCACCAAGCCAACGAUCUGUAGCUGGUCUGAGAGGACGACCGGCCACACUGGGACUGAGACACGGCCCAGACUCCUACGGGAGGCAGCAGUGGGGAAUUUUGGACAAUGGGCGCAAGCCUGAUCCAGCAAUGCCGCGUGCAGGAAGAAGGCCUUCGGGUUGUAAACUGCUUUUGUACGGAACGAAACGGUCCUGGUUAAUACCUGGGGCUAAUGACGGUACCGUAAGAAUAAGCACCGGCUAACUACGUGCCAGCCGCCGCGGUAAUAC